AUUGAACGCUGGCGGCAGGCCUAACACAUGCAAGUCGAACGAGUGGCGGACGGGUGAGUAAUGUCUGGGAAACUGCUUGAUGGAGGGGGAUAACUACUGCAAACGGUAGCUAAUACCGCAUACCAUCAGAUGUGCCCAGAUGGGAUUAGCUAGUAGGUGGGGUAACGGCUCACCCAGGCGACGAUCCCUAGCUGGAAUGAGAGCAUGACCCGCCACACUGGAACUGAGACACGGGCAAGACUCCUACGGGAGGCAGCAGUGGGGAAUAUUGCACAAUGGGCGCAAGCCUGAUGCAGCCACGCCGCGUGUAUGAAGAAGGCCUUCGGGUUGUAAAGUAAUUUCAGCGGGGAGGCGUUACCCGCAGAAGAAGCACCGGCAAACUCCGUGACAGCGGCCGGGGUAAUUC
rnacentral:rRNA from 1 species